rnacentral:rRNA from 1 species
GUGGGGAAUAUUGCACAAUGGGCGAAAGCCUGAUGCAGCAACGCCGCGUGAGGGACGACGGCCUUCGGGUUGUAAACCUCUUUUAGUUGGGAAGAAGGGAACUUGUUCUUGACGGUACCAGCAGAAAAAGCACCGGCUAACUACGUGCCAGCAGCCGCGGUAAUACGUAGGGUGCAAGCGUUGUCCGGAAUUAUUGGGCGUAAAGAGCUCGUAGGCGGUUUGUCGCGUCUGCUGGGAAAUCCCGAGGCUCAACCUCGGGUCUGCAGUGGGUACGGGCAGACUAGAGUGCGGUAGGGGAGAUUGGAAUUCCUGGUGUAGCGGUGGAAUGCGCAGAUAUCAGGAGGAACACCGAUGGCGAAGGCAGAUCUCUGGGCCGUAACUGACGCUGAGGAGCGAAAGCAUGGGGAGCGAACAGG